UUGAUCCUGGCUCAGGACGAACGCUGGCGGCGUGCCUAACACAUGCAAGUCGAGCGGGAUAUACCGGUUUAGUUUACUAAGCUGGUAAAUUCAGCGGCGGACGGGUGAGUAACGCGUGAGCAAUCUGCCUUGUACAGGGGGAUAACAGCCGGAAACGGCUGCUAAUACCGCAUAAGGCCACAGUACCGCAUGGUACAGGGGUCAAAGGAGAGAUCCGGUAUAAGAUGAGCUCGCGUUCCAUUAGCUGGUUGGUGAGGUAACGGCCCACCAAGGCAACGAUGGGUAGCCGGCCUGAGAGGGUGAACGGCCACAUUGGGACUGAGACACGGCCCAAACUCCUACGGGAGGCAGCAGUGGGGGAUAUUGCGCAAUGGGGGAAACCCUGACGCAGCAAUUGCCGACGUGGAGGUGAAGAGCUUCGGUCGUAAAACUCUGUGACAGGGGAAGAGAAAGUGACGGUACUGACGAGGAAGCCCGGCUAACUACGUGCCAGCAGCCGCGGUACACGUAGGUGGGCAAGCGUUGUCCGGAAUUACUGGGCGUAAAGGAUGCGUAGGCGGCAGAGUCAAGUCCCGAUGUGAAAGACCUACGGCUAAACUGAUGGGGAUGCAUCAGGAAACUGUCGUGCUUGAGUGCAGGAGAGGAAAGUGGAAUUCCUAGUGUAGCGGUGAAAUGCGUAGAGAUUAGGAAGAACACCAGUGGCGAAGGCGACUUUCUGGACUGUAACUGACGCUGAGGCACGAAAGCAGUGGGGAGCGAACAGGAUUAGAUACCCUGGUAGUCCACGCCGUAAACGAUGGAUACUAGGUGGUAGGGGGGUAUCGACCCCCCCCUGUGCCGGAGUUAACGCAAUAAGUAUCCCGCCUGGGGAGUACGGCCCGCAAAGGUUGAAACUCAAAGGAAUUGACGGGGGCCCGCACAAGCAGCGGAGCAUGUGGUUUAAUUCGAAGCAACGCGAAGAACCUUACCAGGGCUUGACAUCCCUCCGACGGGCAUAGAGAUAUGCCGUUUCAGCAAUGGACGGGGGAGACAGGUGGUGCAUGGUUGUCGUCAGCUCGUGUCGUGAGAUGUUGGGUUAAGUCCCGCAACGAGCGCAACCCUUAAUCAACAGUACAGCAAGUAAAGUGGGGAACUCUGAAGAGACCUGCGGGAGAACUCGGAGGAAGGUGGAUGAACGCUCAAAAUCAAUCAUGCCCCUUAUGUCCUGGGCUACACACGUGCUACAAUGGCCUGAAACAAAGGGAAGCGAAGGCGCAAGCCGGAGCGGAACCCAGAAAGCAGGUCUCAGUUCGGAUUGUGGGCUGCAACCCGCCCACAUGAAGUCGGAGUUGCUAGUAAUCGCGAAUCAGCAUGUCGCGGUGAAUGCGUUCCCGGGCCUUGUACACACCGCCCGU
rnacentral:rRNA from 1 species